rnacentral:rRNA from 1 species
UACGAAGGGGGCUAGCGUUGUUCGGAUUUACUGGGCGUAAAGCGCACGUAGGCGGAUCUUUAAGUCAGAGGUGAAAUCCCAAGGCUCAACCUUGGAACUGCCUUUGAUACUGGCGAUCUCGAGUCCGGGAGAGGUGAGUGGAACUGCGAGUGUAGAGGUGAAAUUCGUAGAUAUUCGCAAGAACACCAGUGGCGAAGGCGGCUCACUGGCCCGAUACUGACGCUGAGGCACGAAAGCGUGGGGAGCAAACAGG